GGAAUUUCUGGUGCAUAGGUGGAAGGUGGGAGAGCUGACGGGUCUUUCGGGUGAGGGGAAAAAGGCCCAGGACUUCGUAUGCACUCUGGCUCGAAGGAUCAGGAGGCUCGAGGAGAGAGCUCAAGGAAGGGCGAAGCAAGCAGCAACCAUUCCCUUCAGCUGGAUUUACGGGAGGGAAGUGCUACUUUGAGCUUCUUGGGCGACUUGAGUUUCGACAUUACAUCACUCUAUUAGUCAGCGAUACAUGCUUCUGUUUUUCUCGUCUGUUACAUCGAUGGAGGAUGUAGAUACUCGUAGCGGUUGUGAGUGUCGUCAUAUAGGCCGGUUGGGGUUCCU
rnacentral:misc_RNA from 1 species